UACGUAGGUGGCAAGCGUUGUCCGGAAUUAUUGGGCGUAAAGCGCGCGCAGGCGGUCCUUUAAGUCUGAUGUGAAAGCCCACGGCUUAACCGUGGAGGGUCAUUGGAAACUGGGGGACUUGAGUGCAGAAGAGGAAAGUGGAAUUCCAAGUGUAGCGGUGAAAUGCGUAGAGAUUUGGAGGAACACCAGUGGCGAAGGCGGCAUCCUGGACCAAUUCUGACGCUGAGGAGCGAAAGCCAGGGGAGCAAACGGG
rnacentral:rRNA from 1 species